rnacentral:rRNA from 1 species
CCUACGGGAGGCAGCAGUCGGGAAUUUUGGGCAAUGGGCGAAAGCCUGACCCAGCAACGCCGCGUGAAGGAUGAAAUCCCUCGGGAUGUAAACUUCGCAAGAACGGGAAGAAUAAGUAGGGGACAAUACCCCCUAUGAUGACGGUACCGUUUGUAAGCUCCGGCUAACUCCGUGCCAGCAGCCGCGGUAAUACGGGGGGAGCAAGCGUUGUUCGGAUUUACUGGGCGUAAAGGGCGCGUAGGCGGCCAGCACAAGUCAGUUGUGAAAUCUCCGAGCUUAACUCGGAAAGGUCAACUGAUACUGUGCGGCUAGAGUGCAGAAGGGGCAACUGGAAUUCUUGGUGUAGCGGUGAAAUGCGUAGAUAUCAAGAGGAACACCUGCGGCGAAGGCGGGUUGCUGGGCUGACACUGACGCUGAGGCGCGAAAGCCAGGGGAGCGAACGGGAUUAGAUACCCCGGUAGUCCUGGCCUUAAACGAUGAAUGCUUGGUGUCUGGGGUUAUAAAGUCCCUGGGUGCCGUCGCUAACGCUUUAAGCAUUCCGCCUGGGGAGUACGGUCGCAAGACUGAAACUCAAAGGAAUUGACGG